GAUGAACGCUGGCGGCGUGCCUAAUACAUGCAAGUCGAGCGAACAGACGAGGAGCUUGCUCCUUCGACGUUAGCGGCGGACGGGUGAGUAACACGUAGGUAACCACCUUUUAAAACGGGGUUAACUUCGGGAACCCGGGGUUAAUCCGGAUUAAUAUUUCGACCCCAUGGUUUCAUUGGUAAAAAAUGGCUUUCCUAUCACUUAUAGAUGAACUGCGCCGUAUUAGCUAGUUGGUAAGGUAACGGCUUACCAAGGCAACGAUACGUAGCCGACCUGAGAGGGUGAUCGGCCACACUGGAACUGAGACACGGUCCAGACUCCUACGGGAGGCAGCAGUAGGGAAUCUUCCGCAAUGGGCGAAAGCCUGACGGAGCAACGCCGCGUGAGUGAUGAAGGUCUUCGGAUCGUAAAACUCUGUUAUUAGGGAAGAACAAACGUGUAAGUAACUGUGCACGUCUUGACGGUACCUAAUCAGAAAGCCACGGCUAACUACGUG
rnacentral:rRNA from 1 species